rnacentral:lncRNA from 1 species
GUUCCGGGGAGUAUGUCGCAAGCUGAAAACUUAAGGAAAUGACGGAUAGGCACCACCAUGGGGGGAACGAUGAAGUGGAGCCUGCGCGUAAUGACUCAAACGGGAAAUUACCAGGUCCAGACAAGUAAAGGAUGACAGACCUGAGAGCUCUUCUUGAUCUAAUGGGUGUGGGUGCAUGCCGUCUCUAAGUUGGUGGAGCGAUUGUCGGUUAAU